rnacentral:rRNA from 1 species
GAUGAACGCUAGCUACAGGCUUAACACAUGCAAGUCGAGGGGAAACGACAUUGAAGCUUGCUUCGAUGGGCGUCGACCGGCGCACGGGUGAGUAACGCGUAUCCAACCUGCCUCUGACUAAGGGGUAACCCGGCGAAAGUCGGACUAAUACCUUAUGAGGUUUUCAGCAGACAUCUAAUGAAAACGAAAGAUCUAUCGGUCAGUGAUGGGGAUGCGUCUGAUUAGCUUGUUGGCGGGGUAACGGCCCACCAAGGCAACGAUCAGUAGGGGUUCUGAGAGGAAGGUCCCCCACAUUGGAACUGAGACACGGUCCAAACUCCUACGGGAGGCAGCAGUGAGGAAUAUUGGUCAAUGGGCGAGAGCCUGAACCAGCCAAGUAGCGUGCAGGAUGACGGCCCUAUGGGUUGUAAACUGCUUUUAUGUGGGGAUAAAGUGAGCUACGUGUAGUUUAUUGCAGGUACCACAUGAAUAAGGACCGGCUAAUUCCGUGCCAGCAGCCGCGGUAAUACGGAAGGUCCAGGCGUUAUCCGGAUUUAUUGGGUUUAAAGGGAGCGUAGGCCGUGGAUUAAGCGUGUUGUGAAAUGUAGACGCUCAACGUCUGAAUUGCAGCGCGAACUGGUUCACUUGAGUAUGCACAACGUAGGCGGAAUUCGUCGUGUAGCGGUGAAAUGCUUAGAUAUGACGAAGAACUCCGAUUGCGAAGGCAGCUUACGGGAGCACAACUGACGCUGAAGCUCGAAGGUGCGGGUAUCAAACAGG